AUAAAGGUGUCUUUAGACACCACCUUCUACCAUCGAAUUUUUUU
rfam:Picea glauca, whole genome shotgun sequence.